rnacentral:rRNA from 1 species
UACGUAGGGGGCUAGCGUUGUCCGGAUUUAUUGGGCGUAAAGAGCGUGUAGGCGGCCAGGUAGGUCCGUUGUGAAAACUCGAGGCUCAACCUCGAGACGUCGGCGGAAACCCUCUGGCUAGAGUCCGGAAGAGGAGAGUGGAAUUCCUGGUGUAGCGGUGAAAUGCGCAGAUAUCAGGAAGAACACCCGUGGCGAAGGCGGCUCCCUGGGACGGUACUGACGCUGAGACGCGAAAGCGUGGGGAGCAAACAGG